GGCGGCGGCCACGCUGGGUGAGAAGAAAGAAAAGCCCUGUUAGGAUUAAGGGGGUGAGAGACGGGCCUGAAGGAUGGUUGGGAUUUUCAGCAGAUGGGACUCCAGACAGAGGGAAGGAACACGAAGAGGGAGCCGCCUAAUGAUGGGAACGCUUUCUAUGGAGCGAGAGAAAGGAAGAAUGAAUAUGUCAGACUUAAUGCUGAUUAAUGCUGGUAAUCAGCCUGGCA
rnacentral:lncRNA from 1 species